UACAGAGGGUGCGAGCGUUAAUCGGAUUUACUGGGCGUAAAGGGCGCGUAGGCGGUGAGAUGAGUGUGAUGUGAAAGCCCCGGGCUUAACCUGGGAAGGGCAUCGCAAACGAUCUGACUGGAGUAGGUGAGAGGGUGGCGGAAUUUCCGGUGUAGCGGUGAAAUGCGUAGAGAUCGGAAGGAACGUCGAUGGCGAAGGCAGCCACCUGGCACCAUACUGACGCUGAAGCGCGAAAGCGUGGGGAUCGAACAGG
rnacentral:rRNA from 1 species